rnacentral:rRNA from 1 species
UACAGAGGGUGCAAGCGUUGUUCGGAAUCAUUGGGCGUAAAGGGCGCGUAGGCGGUUGAACAAGUCGGAUGUGAAAGCCCACAGCUUAACUGUGGAAGUGCAUUCGAAACUGUUCGACUAGAGUCUCGGAGAGGGUGGUGGAAUUCCCAGUGUAGAGGUGAAAUUCGUAGAUAUUGGGAGGAACACCGGUGGCGAAGGCGACCACCUGGCUGAAGACUGACGCUGAGGCGCGAAAGCGUGGGGAUCAAACAGG